rnacentral:rRNA from 1 species
GGAGCUUUCUGUAUGGGUUGAAGUCGUACCGUAAGGAGCGGUGGACUGUACAGAAGUGAGAAUGCUGGCAUAAGUAGCGAGAAAUAAGUGAGAAUCUUAUUGGCCGAAAACCUAAGGUUUCCUGAGGAAGGUUCGUCCGCUCAGGGUUAGUCGGGACCUAAGCCGAGGCCGAAAGGCGUAGGUGAUGGACAAUCGGUUGAUAUUCCGAUACCACCUAUUUACGUUUGAGAAAUGGGGUGACGCAGUAGGAUAAGAUGUGCGCACUAUUGGAUGUGCGUCUAAGCACUUAGGCAUGCUUGAUAGGCAAAUCCGUCGAGCUAAGCUGAGGUGUGAUGGGGAGCCAUUUAUGGCGAAGUAUCUGAUUCCACACUGCCAAGAAAAGCCUCUAUCGAGUGAAUAGGUGCCCGUACCGCAAACCGACACAGGUAGGUGAGGAGAGAAUCCUAAGGCCAUCGGAAGAAUUGCUGUUAAGGAACUCGGCAAAUUGACCCCGUAACUUCGGGAGAAGGGGUGCCUACGAAAGUAGGCCGCAGAGAAUAGGCCCAAGCAACUGUUUAGCAAAAACACAGGUCUCUGCUAAAGCGAAAGCUGAUGUAUAGGGGCUGACGCCUGCCCGGUGCUGGAAGGUUAAGGGGAACACUUAGCGUAAGCGAAGGUGUGAACUUAAGCCCCAGUAAACGGCGGCCGUAACUAUAACGGUCCUAAGGUAGCGAAAUUCCUUGUCGGGUAAGUUCCGACCCGCACGAAUGGCGUAAUGAUUUGGGCACUGUCUCAACAGCAAAUCCGGCGAAAUUGUAGUGCAAGUGAAGAUGCUUGCUACCCGCGAUUGGACGGAAAG